rnacentral:rRNA from 1 species
AAGCCUACCCUAGCCCGAUCACACUCCAAUCAAAACAGUUUAAAAACUCACUUCAACACGAAACCAAAACAUUCUUCAAACUUAGUAUAGGCGAUAGAAAAGAUAUUCAAACCUUUUCGGCGCGAUAGAAAUUUGUACCGUAAGGGAGAGAUGAAAUAAUAAUGAAAAGCCAAGCAACAAACAGCAAAGACAAACCCUUGUACCUUUUGCAUCAUGAUUUAGCGAGAACAACCAAGCAAAAUGAACUUAAGCUUGUCCCCCCGAAACCCAAGCGAGCUACUUACAAGCAGCUAUUCAUGAGCGAACCCGUCUCUGUUGCAAAAGAGUGGGAUGACUUGUCAGUAGAGGUGAAAAGCCAACCGAGCUGGGUGAUAGCUGGUUGCCUGUGAAACGAAUCUAAGUUCUCUCUUGACCACCCCUCUCGGACAUCAAACUUAACCUUCACGUAGUAGGCCAAGAGUAAUUUAAAGGAGGUACAGCUCCUUUAAAAAAGAACACAAUCUCCUCUAGAGGAUAAUAACCGCCACCCCAGCAGACCUGUAGGCCUUCAAGCAGCCACCAACAAAGAGUGCGUCAAAGCUCAACUCUACAAAAAUACAAAAACAGCACGAAUCCCUUCCCAUUAACAGGCCAACCUAUAACAAUAGGAGAAUUAAUGCUAAAAUGAGUAACUAGGGGUUCCCCCUCUCAAGCGCAAGCUUACAUCCACAUAUUAUUAACAAACCAACCAAUAUCUCAAUUACAACAAGACUAAAAUAUUAUACUACACUUUGUUACCCCAACUCAGGAGCGCCUACUAGAGCGAUUGAAAUCUGUAAAAGGAACUAGGCAAACCCAGGGCCCGACUGUUUACCAAAAACAUAGCCUUCAGCCAACCAAGUAUUGAAGGUGAUGCCUGCCCAGUGACAUAACGUUUAACGGCCGCGGUAUCCUAACCGUGCGAAGGUAGCGCAAUCAAUUGUCCCAUAAAUCGAGACUUGUAUGAAUGGCUAAACGAGGUCCUAACUGUCUCUUACAGAUAAUCAGUGAAAUUGAUCUUCCUGUGCAAAAGCAGGAAUGGACACAUAAGACGAGAAGACCCUGUGGAACUUUAAAAUCAGGGGCCACCACACACAAACUAAAGUCUACUAGGCCUACCACCCACAAACGCUGGCCCACAUUUUUCGGUUGGGGCGACCUUGGAGAAAAACAGACCCUCCAAAAAUAAGACCAUACCUCUUAACCAAGAGCAACCCCUCAACGUGCUAAUAGCAACCAGACCCAAUAUAAUUGAACAAUGGACCAAGCUACCCCAGGGAUAACAGCGCAAUCUCCUCCAAGAGCCCACAUCGACGAGGAGGUUUACGACCUCGAUGUUGGAUCAGGACAUCCUAAUGGUGCAGCCGCUAUUAAGGGUUCGUUUGUUCAACGAUUAACAGUCCUACGUGAUCUGAGUUCAGACCGGAGUAAUCCAGGUCGGUUUCUAUCUAUGACAAACUUUCCCCAGUACGAAAGGACCGGAAAAGUAGGGCCAAUGCUACAAACACGCCCUCCACUAAGUAAUGAACUCAACUAAAUUACUUAAAAGUCACUCCAUCCACUCCUAGAAAAGGAUCG